GACGAACGCUGGCGGCGUGCUUAACACAUGCAAGUCGAACGGUGAAGCGCCUUCCUUUUUGGUGGGUGUGGAUGAGUGGCGAACGGGUGAGUAACACGUGAGUAACCUGCCCCCUUCUUCUGGAUAACCGCAUGAAAGUGUGGCUAAUACGGGAUAUUCUGGGUCUGUCGCAUGAUGGGUCUGGGAAAGAUAUUGUUUCGGUGGGGGUUGGGCUCGCGGCCUAUCAGCUUGUUGGUGGGGUGAUGGCCUACCAAGGCGGUGACGGGUAGCCGGCCUGAGAGGGUGGACGGUCACACGGGGACUGAGACACGGCCCAGACUCCUACGGGAGGCAGCAGUGGGGAAUAUUGCACAAUGGGCGCAAGCCUGAUGCAGCGACGCCGCGUGAGGGAUGGAGGCCUGCGGGUUGUGAACCUCUUUCGCCAGUGAAGCAGGCCUGCCUCGUUUGUGGGUGGGUUGACGGUAGCUGGAUAAGAAGCGCCGGCUAACUACGUG
rnacentral:rRNA from 1 species